GACGGAGGGUGCAAGCGUUGUUCGGAAUUACUGGGCGUAAAGGGCGCGUAGGCGGUCUGUUAAGUUCGGUGUGAAAGCCCCCGGCUCACCUGGGGAACUGCGCCGGAAACCGACAGACUCGAGUACCGGAGAGGAGGGUGGAAUUCCUGGUGUAGCGGUGAAAUGCGUAGAUAUCAGGAGGAACACCAAUUGCGAAGGCAGCUCGCUGGGACGUUACUGACGCUGAGACGCGAAAGCGUGGGGAGCAAACAGG
rnacentral:rRNA from 1 species